CGAACGCUGGCGGCAGGCCUAACACAUGCAAGUCGAACGGGUACUUUCGGGUACUAGUGGCGGACGGGUGAGUAACGCGUGGGAACGUGCCCUUUGGUUCGGAAUAGCCCUGGGAAACUGGGAGUAAUACCGGAUGAGCCCUACGGGGGAAAGAUUUAUCGCCAAAGGAUCGGCCCGCGUUGGAUUAGUUAGUUGGCGGGGUAACGGCCCACCAAGACGAUGAUCAUUAGGGGAACUGAGAGGUUGGUCCCCCACACUGGCACUGAGAUACGGGCCAGACUCCUACGGGAGGCAGCAGUAGGGAAUAUUGGACAAUGGGUGCGAGCCUGAUCCAGCCAUGCCGCGUGCAGGAAGACGGCCUUCUGGGUUGUAAACUGCUUUUGCCAGGGGAUAGAACGUCUCUGCGGAGAUAAUUGAAGGUACCUGGUGAAUAAGCCACGGCUAACCACGUGCCAGCA
rnacentral:rRNA from 1 species